UUGCAUUUGCAGCAGACUUCAAAGUUGCUGCCAGACCAAAUUGUACCGGUAUACGGGAAUCUGUCACCGGUACACUUUCUGCGCAGAGGCCAACCCGAGAGCAGCUCUCUCGGGUUUUGCAAAUGUGUACCGGUACACACCAGGGGUGUUACCGGUAACACAGUCAAAAUUUCUCAAACCCGAGAGCUUUUUUCUCUCAGCCUGCAAUGUUGUAUCGGUUACAACUCGAUGGUUGUAUCGGUACACUUGCACCAGACUGUAGUUUUAGCUCCGAUUCGACUCUACUUCGCGCCUGUCACGCCCCGGGACCGGCGGAGGCCCUCCCGGUAGCGUGCCCAGACCCGCCAUAUGUCUACACAUAUAAGGCGUCUACUAUAAAAGCGGAAGUAAAGCAAGAGAUAGAACAAAUAAAAGAAGUAAAAUAACAAGCAACUAAUGAUAUCAGAGCGAGUAAAGUUCCAUCAUCUACACCAAAGUAUAGAAAUAAAGCUAGACAAUAAAGAAUUCAUAAGUAGUACAAUAACAAUCUCUAGUACAAAAAUGGUGGUCUCUAUGCAUAUCCGGGUACAACUCUCAACCUCUCCCAAAAAGAAAACACGAGAGGUAAACCACCUAUCGAACGAUCCCUCGGUAAGCACGCUAGCCCGAGGCGAUACCCUUUCCGCGAUCCCUGGCCUCUCCCUGCGUGGAAGGCUCUGAAAAACAUCNCAACCCUCCACCAAGUGUGGAAAAGCUCGAAAUGCAUCCAAACACUCGAACCUCACAAUUUGCAAAGGUCCAGUGUGUUACAGCGCCGUUCGAUACUAAAACCCUUCUAACCCUUCUUAAACUCAUUUUUAACCCUUCCAACAUUGUUGGAAUGCUAAAUGCAACUUGUCCAUUCAUCUCUUUCGUAUACUUUAGUCAAUUUGGCUAAAGUUCGAUAAUCGUUCUCGAGGUUUCAAUAUGUUACAUUAGCAGAAAAUUCACAGUGUCAGAAAAUUAUGAAAAUCUGAAAAUAUGUCGGGAUUAUUUUUAUGAUGCUAAUUUAAAGUUUCAUAUCAUUCCGACACUCGGAAAGUGAAAAAUAAAAUCUGACUGCUAUCUGUUAGAGAUUUCAGUUCGGUAGAGUUUUCGGUGACCAAAAAUAGUCGAAAUUGAAAAGUUAAGAUAUAUUUCUUUUUAUUAGUUUAAAUCGAGUCUGACUGUCAAAUUUGAGAUCAAACGGACAUUCAGAAAGACUCCGGCGAAAAGGAACAGAUUCUGAGCUGCUAAACUGAAAAUAAGUAAUAUUGUUGGGGGGGCUAUUUGUGUAACAAAGGGGCUUUCUCUUUUGUUUCGUUCAACCCGAGAGAGAGAGAGAGAGGAGAGUCUUUCUCUCUUUCUCUCUUGUUCUUCUAGCUCUCAUCUCACAUCUCUCCCCCUAGCUUUCUCUCUCUAGUAAGUUUCUCCAUUAAAGAGGAGAUGUUAGAGAAGAUGAAGUUGGAGAUGAAGCUUGGAGCUCUCCAAUGGUGAAGCAAGCUUUUUAAUAGUGGAAAGCUAUGUAGCCAUGGUGAGUUUUGUGAUUUAAGCUAGGGUUUGGAGUAAAUCUUUUGUAAAUGAAAUGUUUAGGAUCUCUAGAUGAUUCUAAACUAGCUUGGAUAAAGUUUAAUCAUGAGAUUUGGUGUUCUUGAGGAUUCAUGAAACCCUAGGCUUAGAAAAUUGGGGUUUUGGAUUUGUUGGGGUUUUGAUCUAUUUUAACCCCAUAUUUCUCUAAUUGAAGGUUAGAGAUGAGCCCCUAACAACUCUAAGUUGAGAAUCGACGAGCGUUCGGCGAUCAAUUGCGAGUUGGAGCCGAACCAGAUCACGUGUGCCGCGGGAGCCCGAUUGCAAGUGACUACAAGCAAUCGGAGAGCGAUAUUAGGUGGGUUGUGGUCUACCGAAGCGAUUAGGUCGCUUCCAUGCCAAAGUGAAGUGUGUUUCAUUAUUGAUGCAUGAAGUGGUAGUAAAUUGCCAAGUGAAUGAAUGCAUGAGCUAGAUACUAAAUGAUAUGAGCUAGGUGCUAAAUAAGAUGAGCUAGAUGCAUGAGUUAAAUGCUAAAGUGAAUGCAUGAGUUAGAUUUUAAUUGUAAAUGCAUAAGAUGUAUGCUAGUAAAAGAAUGCAUGAUUGAGAUGCUAAUAAAGAAUGCAUAAGCUAUAAGCUAAGCGAAUGUAUGAUCUAGAUGCUAAAUUAUGCAUGUGAGAAAUACUAAAGGAUACGUGGGAUAUAUGCUAAAAAAAUGUAUGAUUGAGAUGCUAAUUGUAAAUGCAUAGGGUAUGUGCUAAGUGAAUGCAUGGGCUAAAUGCUAAAUGAAUGUAUAACAUAUGUGCUAGUAAUGAGUGCAUGUAAUGGUAGUCCCAGUUGUAAAUGAUGCAUGAGAUAUAUGUUACAUGAGUUAUAUGCCAAAUGUAUAUUAAUUACUAAUUUGAUAAGAAUAUAGGCAUGUGUAGGAAAUAUUAGAGAACAUAUACAUAUUGACAUAAUGUGAGAAUAUGCUAGAUUCAUAUGAAAGUAAACUUGGGUCGAUAACUCUAGGUUGAUAGAGAACUCGACAUUGGAAAGUAAGAACAUAGAGUGGUAUGUCAAGUAUGAUUCCCAGGUAUGGACAACUAGGAAAAUAAGAACACGAGUGGCAUUCAACCUAGUGUCAUGGAACAUAGGUGAAUUAUGAGUGGCAUUAAACCUAAUGUAUUAAACCAAGGUUGAGAAUUGAACCUACUAUCAAGUAAACCUAGGUUAUGAGCAUAGUGACAUUGAACCUAGAGUUAAAUGAACCUAGGUAAUAAAGAACAUCGGACCUAGUGUUAUGAAACCUAGGCAAUGAACAUAGUGACAUUGGACCUAAUGUUAUUAGACUUAGGUUGAGUAAUGGCUUGGAUCUAAAUAGGUCAAUACUAUAGGGUGAGACCAACCCUUGAGACGUGAAAAGUGGAUUCCGGAAUUCCGGCUACGAGUGCAGCGGCUGCUAGUGCAGCAUGUGAGCUCGAUAUUCCUUGGCCGCGGGUGCAUGUGGCAUGUUCCUCUCCCACCGGAAGAAUUUCGAGAAUUGUGAUUGAGCAAGAACCAUGAGCGCUAGGGUGUAUGUGGCAUGUUCCUCUCCUUAUCGGGGAUCUCAGCUGCGGGUGUAUGCGGCAUGUUCCUCUCCCACCGGGGGAUCCCUGACCACGGGUGUGCGCUGCUCUGAGCGACCCGUUGGGCGAUGUGGUUUCUGGAUUGGUGGCUGAGGUGUAUGUGAUAGUUCCUUCACUUCGAGCUUGACAGAGCGCAGUACUCCGCAGAUGAUUGACUAAAGACCGAAUCGAGCGGCAUAGCUGGCUAAGGUAAAGGUAACCUUAGGAAAGAAUGGCAAAUGAGCAUAAUAUGGCUAAGGUGUAAGUACCCUUAGUAAAGAAUAAAGAUUAGCUAAGAAUAAAGAAUGGCUACAAGUAAAGAGUAGCUAAUAAUAAAGAAUGUCAAAGAAUAAAGAAUUGCAAGUAGUAAAGAAUGGCAAGUGAUAAAGAAUUACUAAUAAUAUAAAGAAUGACAAAUGUUAGAGAAUAGAAUCAUUUAAUUUACUUGCAUAGUUGCAUGAUUUGCAUAGUUGCAUAUUGUGAGGCAUGAACAUGAUAAUUGUUAGUUGCAUAAAUUAUAUAUUUGUGGAUAUUUGUUGGACUAACAUGUUUGCAUUACCUCCUUUGGACCUGGUAGGUCGAGCUCUUUCCUUGGAUGGCCGUACCCACUGGAAACUAUGGACAAUAGUUCUCAGCCCACGUUGUUUUAGGGAUUUCAAGUUCACACGCGAGCGGCGCGGCGGCGCGAGGAAAGGGCGUAGCUCCGUAGUUAGCGCCCUACCACCGAGACCAGAGAUAGCAGUACCAUGAGUCGGCUACUUAGGGAUGUGAAAAAUGAAAAGAACCAAGUUGUAAUAACAUUGUAAGAAUUGGAUUGUAUUUGGAAGUAAGAAUCUAGUUAAUGUAAUGUGAAAUGUGAAUUGAGACGAAUGCUUGUAAUAGCAUAGUAUUUAUGUUUUAGAUACUUCCUUAUGCAAUCCUUGCUUGAAUACUGUUCCUGGUUGGAACCUCGCGCAUUGUAUGGAUUGUGACGCCUUGGACGUACAGGGGAGACUCUGUCCGCGGUACAGGGGAAACCGUUCGGCGGUCUGUUGGCGUGCCCAAAUCCGACCAAAUAGGCGGGCUCGGGGCGUGACACAUGAACUACUCAAAAUACAACUUCGCUCUCAAUUACAUUUGUGUUUCCAAAAUACAUUUACAUUCAUUUGCUUGUACAUAGGGCUACCUACACCUGGUGACCCUGCUAUGUAGGGCUCAACGCCCACGCCUCGGUCUGGUGCCGCUCCGCUCAUGGUUGGCUCAGCAAAAUAGGGAGUGAGAACUAAAAAAAGUUUCCAGUGGGUUCAGCCGCCGACCUCACCGAUUUUUUCAUUAAGUCUAUCAUGGCAUAAGUAGAUAAACGAACAAGAAAGUAGUUCAACAACUACACUAUGCAUAAACUGGAACAAACGCUACUAUGCCUUUGCAAAUGAAGCUUGGUAAACAAUAAAUGCUAUUAUGCUCAAGAUGCUUACCAUUUUCACCUUUUAACACAAUCAUAUUGGCUCACGUGAAGUCAAGCCCAACUCCCUUCUCUAGAUUGUCUACUGGGGAGAUGACCUGUAAUAUAUCGAAAUCUCGGUAGAUAUUAUUGGACUUUAGCCAAAUUGACUAAAGCAUCCAAGAGAAAUAGUUGGACAAGUUCCAAUUGGCAUUCCAACAAGGUUGGAAGGAUUAAAAGUGAGUUUAAAAGAGUUAGAAAGUUUUUUGCAUUGAUCGGUGUGAAAUAGAAUCGAAAAAGAAGCAAAAUCUAAAAUCUGGGCAUUUUGUACCGAUACAGCAUCAAUGUUGUACCGGUACACAUGUAGUAACCGAGGGGAAGCUGCUCUCAGGUUUGAGAAAAUUUGGUUGUGUUACCGGUGACACCCCUGAUGUGUACCGGUACACUUUAGUAAAACCCGAACAGCUGCUCUCGGGUUUGGUUCUGCGCGAUCGUGUUACCGGUGACACCAUGACCUGUAUCGGUACACUUUGGGUCUGGUAGAAAAAAUUGGUCUACUGCAAUUAUGGACUUUUGGGGGGCCUAAUUGCUAUUGUAGCACCCUAUAAAAGACCCCAACACCCUCUAUUCUCUCUUCACUGCAGAGAACACUCCCUCACACCCAUUUCUCUCCCCCUCUCUCUCUAGAAACACUACAACAAGGUGGAUUUGGAGGAGAUUGAAGAAGGGUUUGGAGAUUUUGGAGGAUUAGAAGACCUAGAGGCUCUCCUACAAGGUGGACCUUGGAGUGCUUUAGGCUAAGGUGAGUUUUUAUGCAAGAAUUAUUCUAGGGUUGGGAUUUAUACCCUAAAUCCUUGGGUUUUGAUCUUCUUGCAAGGCUAAGAACCUCGUAGAGGCCAUGAAACCCAUGAAAUCCAUGGUUUCCUCAAGAACUCUCAUGGUGAACUUCUAGGGUUCAUGUUAGAUGCCCUAGAAAUAGUUCAAAUGGCUUAGAAAUAGUAUUAGAGAAGUUUCUAGAGGUUAAACAAGCUCGUAUUUGCUUGUUCUAGAGAUCAAACCAAGAGAUUGCUAAGAUGUCAUUGUUAGGGCACCAAAUUUAGAGCUUUUGCCCUAGGUUGUUUCCGAGGUAAAUUAACCAUGUGGAAACCUGAUUGGGGGUAUAACGAACGCGUUGGAAGACUCGGUUCGUCGAAACAAAGAGCCUAUGUAAAGUUAUUUAGUAAAAAGCCUAAUUUGGCUUCAUUUUGAUAUAGAUUGCCGCAGCACGCGGGAUAAGCAUCCAAAAAUCACCAAAUUCGAAACCCAACUCCUUUGCUACCAUACGAGGUAGGGGGUGCCUUCCGGAAUUAUUGGAUUUCCUUUUAUGUCUAUGUUAUCUUUUAUUGAGCAUAUAUGUGAAUAGUGUCGUUCAUGCAUAAUAGGGUAGUUGGCAUGUGAAUAAUGGUUAGAAUUUCAAUAUUAUGCUCUUAACGUAGAUGAACAUAGUGAUUGAUAAAGAACCAUAUGAGACAUCUAUGUGGAACCCUAUACUUGUGUGAANGUCGUUCAUGCAUAAUAGGGUAGUUGGCAUGUGAAUAAUGGUUAGAAUUUCAAUAUUAUGCUCUUAACGUAGAUGAACAUAGUGAUUGAUAAAGAACCAUAUGAGACAUCUAUGUGGAACCCUAUACUUGUGUGAAUGUGACAUUGGACUAUGAUAAUAGUAAACAAAGGUGACAUUGACAAUAGAGACAAGAUUGGCAUUGAGAAAUGAAUUGUUAAAGGCUUAACCAUUAGUGGCAUUAUGGCAAGAGUAACCUAGAGAGUGGCAAAUAUGAUAAGGUAGAAACCUAUCAUUAAUAUAGUGGCAUUGUGGCUAGUGGCUAGUGGCUAUGCAUCCUCCAAAUGAGGAUUGGAUUUUACUCACAUUGGGUUUUUGGCUUGAGGAAGGUCGCUCCUCCUCAAGCGGUGUACUUCGGAGUGUAGACAUCACAGGGAGAGUACCCCGUUGAUGGUCCCUCGGGUGAUAGUGCUUGGAGCCUCCCCCGGUAGACGGGAUAUUGAGUUGUGAGUUAUUGGGGUUAACAAGGUUAACCAGAUUAAUUGGGGAAGAGCCAAGGUAAAUUGUGAAAAGAGCAUGCAUGCAUAUACAUCAUACAUAUGAUUAUCUAACUAUUGACAGUUUUCUUGCAGGCAUAGUAUUAGCAUAGUAUGGUUUGUUAUUUCCUUUCUUUGAAAUACUUAUGGCUAAAUAGACCUAGUGGAUAAGUCGGCGAGGUCGGUGGCCGAGUCUACUGGGAACUUCGUUGUAGUUCUCACACCAUUAACCCUACAGAUCCGAGCGCGAGCGGGGCGGCGGAGGAUCGAGGCAAGGGUAUAGCGCCAUAGCUAGUGGCCACCGGAGUAUUUACAUUUUAGUCAUUCCCUUUUGUUUAUCUAUCCACUUUUAUUUUGUUGAUCAAGUGAUGUAAAAGUUGUAAACAAUCAUGUAUUUUGGGUUGGAUGAUUAUGAUGUAAAGAAAUUAUGUGUCACGCCCCGAGGUUCCUUUUCAGUUUAAAACAAAGCGGAAAAGCGUCUGAAAUUUUUUUUUUUUAAAACCUGACCCCAGGGUAUGCCAGAUCCGCCACAAAUACAGGNCACUGUCAAAAAUCUCAGUCCUUACAUUAUGAAUGAAAGUAAAAUGAAUGUAAUAGUUUUAGUUUACUUGUAUUUGGUUAAAAUGUAAUCAAAUAUUAUGUAAGUGGUUGCUUGUAGUAGAUUAGAGCUUUCAUUCUUAUUGUUGCUUGCCCUCGGGCAAGCCUUGUAUAAUUGUAAAUCUCAUUGCUUGAUUGCUUAAUUAUACCUGUUGCUAGAGCCUUGAGCGGGCGGGGGAGGCCCUGUCCGUUCGGCCUCUGUUGACGUGGCCCGAAUCCAACCAAAGUGGCGGAGCUCGGGGCGUGACAUGACCGCUCAACCCAACACAGAUUGUCUACCGAAGAGGCAUAAUCGACUCGUCAUCUGUCCUGUGAUGCUACUACACGACUUUACAAGGUAACCAAAGACAUGAUCUACUAUGCUCAACUAACUUUCUCUUUUACCUCAUGACCCAAUCAUCCGGCUCAUGCGAAGUCAAGCCAAACUCACGUACCCGGUUAACAAGCAGGUUAGGGUUUUACUUUGGGCAUUUGUAAGACCUUUACUGUUUAGGAUUUAUGUCAAAUUUCUACUAAUUUUUUAUUAGUUUUCAAUGUUUAGAAGUAGAGAUUACUCAUCAGUUUAUUGUUGUGUAGGUGUGCUAUAAGCCGAAUUCCUCAGCCGUUGACCUGGUCAAAGGCCUUCCCUGGGGAACGUGCAGGAAUAAAAUCCGGCCUCACGGGAUGGCCCUCAAAGUUUGUGCCCUUCGAUAGAUCAAGCGAUUCGGCUGAUGAGGGAUCAGAUCAGCCGAGUUCAAAACCCCUUACUGUAGAAUAAGUUCGGCUGAAAGAGCCGAAUGGAUGAAAUGCAUAGUGACUGGUCGGCUGAAAGAGCCGAAUGCUUUUAUAAAUUGGAAUUAUACCUGGAAACUUGUGCAGACGUGAGUGUGCCUAUAAGGCAUACAAACUCUGAAAAUUUAUCUAACUUAGAACUACUCCUACGAAAAGUAGCAGAUGCGGAAAAUGAAAGAUUACAAGUAGAUCACUCCUAAAAAGCGCGAAUAAAAUGCAAGAAAAAUAAAAGUGGUCUUCUAUUCUUGAGAAAAAUACAUCUUUUCUAGGCGUUAUUUGCCUAUUUAUAGUUCGCCCUCAUUAAUCAGUUAUUACUUCAUGAUCGGCCACUCCCCUAUUUUUGCGGGCCACUUCAAGCCGAUCAAAACCGCAUAUAACCGCUUGCAGUUAUGCCUUACAGUUACUCAAUUAUUUUGCCAGUACUCCCGGUGCACACCAAAACCCCCUUUUAUCUUGGCUCCUAAAGGUUUGGGCUGAACCGUGCACCAAUAUGCCACGUGGCGGGCCAUUAUUGGCCCUAACAGGGUGUUUUGGAUGGAGGUUUUUUUUUUUUGUUAAGUAGAUUUUAGUUUUUAGUGUUAAUUUUGGGAACCUAGGGUUGUGGAGGAAGAAAUUCAAUUGAAAAUAUAAAAAAGAAAAAAUUCAAUUGAAAAUAUAUAAAAAAAGAAGAAAGAUAUGUAUUGUAUAAUUGAUGAGAACGUGGUGUACGGUAAUACAUUAUGGAGUCUCUUGCAUAGUAGGGCAUAAAAGGGCAUCUAUUUUUUUUAUUCCUAAAACUAAUUAAGUAAGCAUGAAAUUAAGUUAUUAAUAAAUUGACAAGAGGUAUGGCAGGAUUUUUGUAAUAUAGUAUUUUUUUGGGAUAAUUGCCUAUAUACCCCUCAUACGUUUGAAAAUAUCCUAUUUACCCCUACUUUUUUUUCUUUCUAAAAUACCCCUCAUAUGUUCCACCGUUAUUGCAAAAUACCCUCGUAGUUAUCUCCUGUUAAGUUAACUUGGGUUAAACGUGAGUUAAAUAUCUACCACAGUUAAAAAAAUUAAAAUACUAAUUUUGCCCUUAACUUAAGGGCAAAUAAGAAAUGUUGGUGACGGUAGAGGGGUAUAUUGGAAAAGACAAAAAGUCAAAAUACUUUUUGUGCCCCUGACUUUAAGGGCAAAUAAGAAAGUCAAUGAUGGUGGAAGGGUAUAUUUGAAAAGGCAAAAUAGUAAUUUUACAGACAUAACAGAGUUAAUUAACAAAUUUUAACUCUAGGGGUAUAUUAGAAAUAGGUUGGAACGUAGAAAGGGUAUUUUCAAUAUUAGCCUUCUAAGAGGGGUAAAUCGGAAAGUCGGAAACUUUUCAGAGGUAUAUAAGCAAUUGCCCCUUUUUUUUUAAACUAGUAUGUAAUGUCUAGCAUACCUAUUACGGUUCUAAAAUGACUCAUUUAGUUUUACAUUUUUAAAUGAUAUCUUUCUAACUUCCGAUUUUUGUAAAUGAAAACAACUUGUUUUUUUUCUUACAGAAAAUAACAAAAUCAAUGAAUAUUAAUUUAUUUAUCGAUCUAUCUUGUCUUAUCAUUUUAGUCUUUGUGAAAUUCUGUAAUGGAUUACUUAUAUAAAGUAAUAAUUAAUUAGGUAAAUUUUAUUAUCUCAUCAUUAAUAAAAGUUUUUUACUUUUUGUUCAGAAAUAUGCGAGUGGACUACAUCGGAGCAAGCCAACUACAAAAAUUUCUUAAAAUGGAAUGUUGGUGUUUUUGUUGAAAAAAUAUUAGUGACCAUGUAUUAGAAUGAUUAAUCGAGAUUUGAAUACUUUAACUAUUCUAGAAAGAUUCUUAGUUGGAUAUAUUUUGUUUGUUUGGAUUUUAAAGAUACUUUGAAUUAGAAAUAUAUUUUGGUUUGUUUGUUAAUUUAUGUAUGCUUGGUGAUAAUUUGAAUUGUGAAAUGUAAAAAAUUGUCAUAUAAAUAGUGGAUGGAUUUUGCUAGAUAGAUUGCUGAAACUGCGACAAAACUGUUCAUUGCUAAUAUAUGAUUGCUGGUAUAUAUUGAUAGAUAAAUUUACGACCAUAUUAUUGGUCGCAAAAUAUUUGUUGAAUUAAUUACUUGUUAUUGAAUUUGCGACAACUUAUUCUCGUCGCUAUACUAUCAUAAAAUAAUAAAAUAAAAUUAUUAAAAAAAAAGACUUUUAGCGACGACUAGAUGUUGUUGCAAUUAGGUUAUAUUUAGCAAUGAAAAAUAUUAUCAAGAUGUAUAUUUAGCAACAAAUUACGGGGUCACUAGCGACCAAUUAUUUUGUCGCUAUUAGUGCAUUUACAGUGACAAAUCUUUGUUCGUCGCUAAAUGUAACAGCUAAUAGCGAGCAACUACUUUACUUCGUCGCUAAAUAGUGAAGCGGCAGUAGUGACGAAGUAUUUUUGUCGCUAAAUAGCAAUAGCGACAAAAUUUCAUUCUGUAGCGACAAAUAGUGUUGGUCGCAAAAGGCCUAAAUUUUUGUAGUACCUUUACUGCUGUAGUUCUCUCUUGUAUCAUGGCAUGUCUAUUUGUAUUACCCGUUCUCCUUUGUUUUCAAGUGAAUGCGUCUUGCCCUUAUCGCUCUGUCGUAUACACUGGGGAAACUUCUUUUGUGGUUUCUUAUGCCCUUUUUUUCCCAGGUGAUGUGGAAAAGGGGACUGGUCACAAUGUGAUGGGAGGAUGGCCUAGCUAGUUGCAUUAGUAGUUCACUCGGUUUAUUCUCUCUCACCUCAUUAGUAGUUUUAGUAAUAAAUAGCUCAAUUAGAUGAUCGUGAUGGAUAUGCAUGAAUGAUAACUUGGACUUGUGUGGUUUCAAUUUUUGCUCCCUUAUGUACUUGAAGAUUUCUAGACUUGUGACUUUUGGUUUCAUUGCAUCUAUGUCAUUUGGUUUUCUAUCCUUCGUGGUAGUUGGUUUUCAAAAUAUAUUGUUUCCAUGUGGGAAACAAUUUUCAAAACGGAUUUUGAUUGCAGUCGAUUGAUGCUUUACUUAGAAUUUGAAAACAAAGCUUCCGGGUAGGGAGCACUUUCAACUAAUAGGUUGUUUGUGAAAUUUAUUCAACAUAUGAGUUGUUGUGAAUAGUUGUGUGAAUGUGUGGAUUGUAAUUGUGAUAUUAGAUCUUGUGUGUAAGAUGGUACGUGGUGCAAAUACAGGGGAGAAUAUGUCUGUGUGGAUAGGGGAACCUUGUGUUUGUUGCGAGUCUGUACGUCACGUAGGCCAGGCAAUUUUUUUAAAAAAUGGCACAUUUUCCAUAACUCUGAUUUCUAAAAUAAGUAUUUAUCAUAUGAAAGUUUUCUUACACUGGCCCUAUGUCACGCCCGGGUACCAGCGGAAGCAUAUCCGGCACGUGCACAGACCCGCCAUACACCUGCAGUAUAUAAGGCGUCUACAAAGAAAGGAUGUCGAUAGGAGGAAAACAUAGAAGGAUCCUAUCCUGAUAUCAGAGUCAGUAUAAGUCUAUAAUACCAUAAACAGAAGAACAAAGAGUACACAACCCAAAAUCUCACAUCACAGAGAAAUAUCAAAAUUACAAUCACAGAGAAAUAUCAAAGGGUACACAAAAUACAUGUACAAUGGUAGUCUCUCUAUACACGGGUACAUCACCCUCGGCCGUGGCACGAGUAGCAAGGUGAUCACCUAAUAAAACCGUAAGCUAGGUCUAGCUAGACGCGACUUUCUUGCCGCGAUUCCUAACCUCUCCUGUAGGUGGCUCUAUAAAAGCAACAAUAAAAAGGGCGUGAGAACUAUUAAACAAUAGUUCCUAGUGGGUAAGCCGCCAGCGUCGGCGAAUUACACCACUAGGCUCAUGAUGUACUAAAUGGAAGUAAAGCAACAAGUGCAUGAUAGAUCUACAAUGUUAAUAGGUAAUGAGCAUGUACUCAUAUUUUCUGCAGUAAUUGAAUCAACUAAAUAAGAAGAGCAUGGCAAUUACUGUAAGCAUGAUCAUAAAUCUGAACAUAAGCAUAAACGUGUAAGUAAAUACUGUACACUAUAACUGGUAAUCAUUCAUUGGAUGUCAUUGGAACUUUAAUUUCAUUCAUAAGGACCUACACAAGGUAGUCCAGCUUGCGCCGCGCCUAAUGGCCCCGUGGUAGUAUACACUCCCCACGGCAAUCCACUUCGGCAUCUAAUCCCGCACGGGCAAGCAAUCUGUCGCGUAGGCCAACUCCGAAGUGCCGGCGUGUAGGGAGCUACCCUCACAAGCAUGUGCGAAUGGGCACAAUGGCAAGCAAGCAAAGUCCAUAGUCCAAUAUGUCUCAAACCUCACGUCAUAGUAUGCAAUGUUCUCACUCUCGAUCUAUUGAUCGGAAUUCUCAAUACAAUGAACAAUGACAAUAGCUAGUAUCCACUAGAUUAGUAAGCACAUGAAAGUAAUGCUAAUUUACAUAUGACAAUAGAAAUUUUCUACUAUCAAGGUACUAUCAAAAUAGUCACAAAGAAUGUCAUUGUUCUCUACUUUAUAGAGGCAUAAUAGGUAUGUCUAUUAGUUAUUCAACUGAACUAAACAUAAACAUAAAUACUUUUAUGCAUAAGUGUUCUUUACUUCAUAGAGAUUUUAUUUCAAUAUAUCAAACAUUAUGGUGAUAUGUUCCUAUCCUUUUAUCAAUCGCAUAAUCACAAAAACGCACAUACGUGUCAAUUCUAUAGUAUCAUAUAGAACAUAGGGGAGCUUCACUUGCUCUGGUUAGGUCAAACCCACCUAUCACUAAGCUCAAUCCAGCCCAAAGGAGUCCCGAAAUUCAGCUCAACUAGUCCUCAACCCUGCUGAAAACGAAGCAUCAAAACCGGAUUGGAAACUAUUACCAAAAUGUCCGAACUCGGCAUAAUUUCACUUAGUACAAAGUAGUAACUUAAAUCCCUGUUUUGGUUCACAUUAGUACCUCGAGUUCAACCUCCAAAAGCUUUCACAAGUCAGCCGAAGAUGAUCCAAGGGUCGAUCGCACUCUCGCUGCGAACAAACACUAAACGACGUCAAAAACCCUCGAAUACUAAUUAAUAUAGUCGGAAUCUUGCGAAAUCAGUUUUCUAUCUNNNNNNNNNNNNNNNNNNNNNNNNNGAAAUUAACUAGCCAACUAAGAAGAUAUCAGGAGCAAGUAAAGUUCUAUCAUCUACACAAAGCUAAGGAAAUAAAGCAGUCAAAACCAAAGAUAAGCCAUACAGUAGUUACAAUAAACUGUCUCUCAGUACAAAAAAUGGUGGUCUUAUCCAUAUACGGGUACAACGCUCAACCUUCAAAAAGGAAAAAGCAAGCGAGAGGUAGACACUAUCGACACGACAUCCGCUCGGUAAUGCGCGCUAGCCCGAGGCCAGCAUACCCUUACUCCGCAAUCCCUGGCCUACCCUGAGUGGAAAGGCUCUUUGAAAAAUAUGGCGGGUAGAAAAUGAGGGGUGAACUAUAGAUUAUAGUCCCCAUGUUGGGCCAAAUUACUGACCCUUCAGCUCCUGCCAUCCACUAAGGCCCCAAUUAAAAUAAGGGUUAAGCAAGGACGAUAAUAAUAAUAAGCAAUAAAAGGAGCAUCCCGUAAUGUAAAGCUGCUAAAGAGAGCAGCAUAAGUAAAGAUAGCCACUAUGACUACUAUAUCUCUCAUAGACACCGGAUGUUCGCAACUGUUGCUACAAUACUAUUCUAAUCAUAGAAAAAGUACCAAUGGCCACAUAGUUUACUGUUACAACACCUUUAUCCAGUAACAGGUGAUUAUAGGAUCUCUAUCAUGGCACUUACGCUACCUGUGAUGAAAUAGGGAUUAACUGUCAAGGAUAUACUUACACUGUCCUCAGACACUUAUGCAUAAAAGAUAUCAACUGUAAUCAACUAUAAACCUUAAUCUAGUAUUGAUUAUCCAUUCUCCACACCGUACGAUUUCCAUUCCAAAUUUAAUGGCACCUACCAAAGGUUAGUCACGCUUGGUGCGCCUAAGUGCCAAAUGUCGGAGCCAACAUCCCUACUCUGAAUGUGUUUUCUGUCCCAACUCGCACCCCGUAGGCUUUCCUCAAUACCGCCUACGAUGCGAACUAAGUCGGUUAGGCUAACUCCGGAGUGCCGGCUUGUAGGGAGCGACCCUCACAAGCAUGUGCGAAUGAGCACAAAUGGCAAGCAAGCAAGGUCAAAGUCUCAAGUACUCUACUCUCGAGCCUCUCACAUGGCAAGGCCACUAGCAUCCCAAGGAUCUAGUCCGAAGUCUCAAAGUGACGCUCCAACGCACACCCUCGCUUAGUGCCUCUUUAUGACACUUAAGCAUCACGACUAAUCAUGCCCAAUUCAUGUCCCGUAAUCCAAUUAACUAGGUUCACUUUAGCCCGGGCCCCAUGCCUCUUUAUGACAUUGGCCCAAUCUCAAAUAGUCCAAGUUCUCAAGCCUUCUCUAGGCCUCUAAAAUUCCUAAGAUCACAAUUGGCAUAUAGGUUAAAUGCAUGAAAGCAAGGUUCAUUUCCACAAUAGGAACCAUGAUCCACAACCCUAACUAGAAUGCUAAGUCUCACAUGCAUGCACUCUACCACAUAGGGGUCUAAAAUUUCACUAUACAUAAUAUAUGCAUGUUAAGCAUUCUAAAAUUCAUAUUAAAUACAUUUAACAAGGAAAUGCAUGAAUUUCAAGUUUACGAAACAUAUUUGCCAAAUAUGAGCAUUUCUCAUAUCAUAGGCUAGGUCAAACCCACUGAACCGUCGCGUAGGGUCUCGUUUCGCCGAACCAAGUUGUCCCCGAGUCUCAAAAUAUCCUAAAAGAAAUCAGCGAAGAGAUACGAGGGCAUUACGACCAACCGUAAGAUCAAACAUUGACCUAGAAGUAAAAAGGGCCAAAAUUUACCUCAAGAGAAGAAAUCUCUUCCAAAGCUCCAAAAGAGAGCUAGAAUCCUUCCAAUCCAAGCCCAAGGAAGGUUCUAAACCAAUCAAUCAAGCCCUAAAAGCUCUAGAUCAAAAAGCCCCAAAAAUCAACCCUAAUACCCAUUCUNCUAGGGUUUCAACACAAGAAAAAAUCUCAAAUCCAACAUCUAGAUGGAGAGAAAGGGCUACCAACCUCAAAGAAGCUUCAAUCCAAGCUCAAAGGGUGAGAAUCUUCACUCUUGCAAGCUCCAAGUCCAAGCUCCAAGCACCAAGGAAGAAGAGAGGGUGAGGAAGGUGCUCCAAGUCCUCUAAAAGCUCCAAAUCUUCUUCUUCUUCCCUCCUUCUCCUGCUUCUUCUCCUCCUUCUCUCUCUAACAAGGGUAUGGAGGGAGUGUGAGGAGAGAAAUGAGAAAGAGAGAGGGUGGAAGGGCUAUUUAGGCCAUUCAAAGUAACAAAAUCCCAGGAGGUCCCUCAAAAAUCCAUUAUUGCAACAGCCCGGUCUGGGCAGUUUUCGCCCAGAGGGACCGGUCUCUCCCCAGCAGGGACCGGUCUCUCGCUGCGAACCCGAAAAACCAGCGUUCGGGAACCGGUCUCUCCCUGCGCGGGACCGGUCUCUCACUGCGAAGACGCGUUCGGGAACCGGUCUCGCCUGCCAGGGACCGGUUGCCUCAGGCUGCCUCAACACUGCUCAUUGGGGGAACCGGUCUCUCCUUCCAAGGACCGGUCCCUGAGAGUAAAAACUCUCAGGACUCGUCCAAAGUUCCAGAUUUCGAACUUUUCGGGUCGGGAAACAUUUUACAACCCUCCACCAAGUGUGGAAAAGCUCGAAAUAUAUCCAAACACUCGAACCUCGCAAUUUGCAAAGGUCCAGUGUGUUACACAUUAGUACCUCGAGUUCAACCUCCAAAAGCUUUCACAAGUCGGCCGAAGACGAUCCAAGGGUCGAUCGCACUCUCGCUGCGAACAAACACUAAACGGCAUCAAAAACCCUCGAAUACUAAUUAAUAUAGUCGGAAUCUUGCGAAAUCAGUUUUCUAUCUGAAAUUUCUACUUACCCCUGGUUGGAACACCUUCCUAACCAGUUCCCAAGGUCACCAAUUUAACACAAAAUGAAUCGAAAACCUGCUGCGAAAAAACCAUUCCAAACUGCAUCAAGUUGCUCAAAUGAAUUGCAUAGUUCCGAAAUAGCUUCAUAGAUAACUAAUUACCUUAAUCAAGCUUCAAAGCAAACUUUUUCCUGCACUAGAGUGGAUAAAUUAUAGCUAAAUAACUCCUCUCUAGCUGCUGGAAACUCCUCCUAAUUCAGCUGGGAGCAAAGAAAUCAAAACGACUCAAAAUCCGCUACUAACUUCCGAUUAGAGAAGUUUUAAGCAAUAUACCUAUCAAAAGCUGCAACUUAGCUUUUCCUGAUGGUAAGAUCUCAGAAAAGUCAGUAAAUAUCCUCCUCCCCACGUUCCAAAAGCUUCCUUUGAGCCGCCAAAUCAGCGAACAUCGAGCGGAGCGCGAAAUCGGCUCGAAUCGGCAACUUCUAUUCGAAGAGAGAGAAACCCUAAAGAGAGAGUGAGAGAGGUGCAAAGCUGCUUUUCUGAGCUCUAGCAUCAUCCACAAGCACCAGGAGGCAUACUGGGGUCAAAUAGAUAGGGACAAGAAGUGAAAUUAUAAAAAUAGCCUUGCUGCCACGUAUCUGCCAAUGUGUACCGGUACAAGGUGAUGGCAGUACCGGUACGCAAUGCAAAAUUUCGCCAGAAAUGCACUUUCUUGCUUCCGGCCAUUCAAACACUUCUCUAACUUGUCCAAAAACUUGCCUAAGCCUUUUAGAAGAUGUAGGAUAGUUCCACAUAUCAUUCCACACACUCGAACUUCACAAUUUGCUAAAGUUCAGUGUAUUACACCCUAGGGCGUGACAUAAAUCCUUCAAUACCCUCAUCACUGUCGCCAUCCGCAACCAUGUACUCCGCUACAAGUUUGUAACACACUGGACCUUUGCAAAUUGCGAGGUUCGAGUGAUUUGUUGUGUGCUGAGCAAUUCCAGACUUUCUGGUGGGUCGUUGACAGUGUUCCGACCUAUAGCUCGCAUCCCGAGAAGUGAGGUUUUAAGCCUAGCACAAAAAUCCAAAAAAAUAGAUUUUUGGAUAACUCUUGAAUUACAUUUUCUGAGACUGUGUACCGGUACAGGCUGAUGGCUGUACCGGUACAAGGUUGAUGGUUGUACCGCUACAGCCACCGGGCUUGUACCGGUACAGGGCCGGUUACCCCGCCAACCCAAGCCUCGGGUUGUGACUUUCGUGGGGCUUGUACCGGUACAAGGGCCCGUGUACCGGUACAAGGAGGCAGUUUUUGAGCAGUUUGAACUGUAGGGGUGUUUUUGCAAUUGUGGACCACUUAUAUCAGCACCCACGUCCUUGAGGCCUCCCCUGAGCUCACUAGCAGCAGGAGGAGAGGUAAGGGAGCCCUCCAUACCUCCCUCUUUGAUUUCUUGGGUUUUUGCUUGGGUUUUGAGAGAUUAAAACCUCUCUUUUGCUUGUUAGAAGCUUUUCCACCUUGGUAGAAGCUUGGACCGUCGGUUUGGAGAUAGAGAGGAGGAAGAUCUCCACACUUGGUGAGCUUAGAAUUUUGUUGGAAGCUUCUAGGAGGUUAGUAUCUCAUUCUCUUCCUCUAGAUUUGAGUUUUGUUGCUUUUUGAUAGUUGAAACCCUAGAAUGAGGUUUUAGGGCUUAUUUUGGGCAUUUUGCAUCUAGGGCUUUUGGAGCUAAAUUAUUGAGAUUAGAACCUUCUUCUAGGCUAGAUUGGAAGGGUUCUAGCUCUCUUUUGAAGCUUUGGAAGAGAUUUCUUCUCUUGAGGUGAGUUUUGGCCUUUUUUGCUUCUAGGUUAAUGUUUGAUCUUAUAGUUGAUCGUAAUAUCCGUGUAUCUCUUCGCUCAAUACUUUUAGGGUAUUUUGAGGCUCGUGGACAACUUCGUUCGGCGAAACGAGGCACUACAUGACGAUUCGGUGGGUUUGACCUAGCCACACAAUGAGAAAAUCUCAUUCGUGAUGAUUUGAGUAUCGUUAAUUGAAAAAGCAUGCAAAUUCAUGUUACGUGUAUUUAUUAUGAUUUUUAGAAUGCUUAAAAUGCCUAUGUUACAUGUAAUGAAAUUUUGGACCUCUAUGUAGUAGAGAGUUGCUUGAGAGACAUAGGGUUGCAUUAGCGUUCUAUAUGAGACUUGGUUUCAUGUUUCUAUUGUGUAAAUGAGCCUUGAUACAUGCAUUCAACCUUAAGUUUAAUUGAGACAUGAGAGAUAACAAAAUUGCCUUAUAGAGGCACCGAACUUGGUUAUUAUGUGGUUUAGAGGGCUAAUGUCAUCAAGCAGCAUUGAGCUCGGGACAUGGUUGAACCUAGUGAAUAGGGCUAUUGAGGGAUUAGAAACAUGUUGAACAUUAAAUUGUCUAAGUGUCAUCAAGGGCCACUAGGCGUAAUGAACGUCGAAACUUCACAUUGUGACUUAGAACUAGAUUUUCGGGAUGCUAGUGACUAUACCAUGUUAGAGACAUGAGGAUUGGAUACUUGAGACUUGGACUACGCUUGCUUGCCAUUUGUGCUCAUUCGCACAUGCUUGUGAGGGUCGCUCCCUACAAGCCGGCACUCCGGAAUUAGCCUACCCACUUAUGUUCGCUCGUGCGGUAUUGAGAAGCCUACGGGGUCGAGUGGGACAGACACAUUCCAAGAGUAGGGAUGUUGGGGUACCACAAACACUUAGGCGGCACAAGCUGGACUACCUUUGGUAGGUCCUUAAUUGGAAAUGGAAAUCGACACAGUGUUGAGAAUGAAUAAUCACUACUAGAUAGGCUUAGUAGUUGGAUUACUUGACAUGCUCAUGACAUAGCAUUAGGAUAUAUAGUAUACUUGCCUGUUUCAUUCAUUGCAUCAUAGUAUACUGGGCUGCUUUGAUAGAGCUUAUUCUCUAUGUAUUGACAUACUGCAUCGAGAUGCUUACUUGUCGAUUAUGAUUGGAACUCAAUAGUCAUGCUUUGGACAUACUUAUCGUGAUAGAGUAGAUGUACUAUACUUUGACAUCAUGCUUACUUGAGAUGUAAGGUACCGGACUUCUAAAAACAAUGAAGUUACGGUGUACAUUUAAGUAAUUCCGGUGAGGUUGCGGUGGAAUGUAAUAUACCGGAUUUUAAAUGUAAAAGUGUAAAUAAAUAAAAAUAGUGUGGGAUACUAUUUUUAUUGGACUUAUAGACAUAAAUUAUAAGUCUAGAGUGACCCGUGUUGAAAUGGAAGCGAAAACAGAAGAUUCAGAAUUUUCUGUGAGAGACAGGGCAGACGAAAAAUAUCUGUACCGUGCUGCUAAACUGAAUGUGAAUAGUGUUCUUGGAUAACUUGGAGGCCAAGUUUCCUAGAUAACUUGGAGACCAAGUUUCCUAUGAAACUUGGAGGCCAAGUUUCCUAUGACACUUGGAGGCCAAGUUUCCUAUGAAACUUGGAGGCCAAGUUUCCUAUAUAUAUAUAGGGGACUUGAGCAUUUUCUUUCUUUCUCCCUCACACUUGCAACCAAAGAGAAAUAUCUCUCUCUCUCCAACAAUUUCUCCACCAAAGAGAGGAAUUGGAGGUGCAUUUGGAGAAGAAAAAGGUCGCUUGGAGGUGAAGCCUUCAUCCUCUUCAUUACUUGGUUUGAGGAAAAGCUUGUGUUUGAGGUGCCUAAACGCGUGUGAAGCGUCGUUUCGUCGAUUCGUCGAGCAGGUGCGGCCGAAGAGUAAAGCGGCGACUAGGGAACGUGCAAUUGAGAACCUAGCCUCGUGAUAGCGGUAAAAGGUAGGGGGUGUCAUCCCGAAGUAUCCGGGUUUCCUUUUAUGUCUAAGUUUUAUUUUGAUCAUAUUCAUAUAUUGAUAUUGUGCACUAUAGGAUUAGUAGAUAAUUACAUUCCAUUCCCUUGCAUGUUUCCUAUGGUAGUGUAGCAUUGUGGGCUUGACACUAGAACUUAGGUUGCAUGAGGAUUGGGUCAUGUGACAAGAAUCCUGUAGUGACACGAAUGAUGAUGAUCCAUGAUUGCAUGAUACUUGUAGGAAUAUCUAUUUGCAUGAUGUUGAGGUAGAUGUGGACAUGUAUAUUGCAUGAGAACUUUUAUAUGAUGCCAAUAUAGAUGUACUUAUGCAUGUUGCAUUGAGUUGCUAGCGGACAUAUGCAUGAGGAUAUGAUGUGAGAAUAGACUAGAUCAUGAGGAGCUAGUAUGUGAACCAAUGACAUUGUAAAAUUAGAAACCAUUGCAUAUGUGGCCGACUUGAACAUAGCAUGCCUUGUGAUUGUUUGGGGUGUGGGAUCCCCGAUGUCCUCGGGCGGGAGGACUAUAUCAUACUCGUUCGUCUGUUGUAUUUGAGGAGGUCGCGCCUCCCAUUUCUGUGAGCUCCGGAGUUGUAUCACAGUGAGAUUGAGACGGGGGAGGUGGUCACCACGGUGUGCCCCCGGCAGACGGUCACGGUGGCGUGACGGUGUGGACCGAGUCGUGGUUCGACCUUUGGGCGAACCGAUUGGAUUGAAUCCAGGCAUGUUCAUGGCAUUACAUAGAGUGCAUACAUGGUAGAACUUAUACUUGUUGACAUGAUUAGUAAAGGCAUAGCUACACAUUUGAGCAUGAUAUAGAUGUAGAUGAGCAGAGUAGGCUUGUUGUUAUAUCUAUUAUUCCUUUGACAGGUUGACCUCUGUAUUGUUUCUAUGCCUUUCUUAGACCUAGUGGGAAAACCGGCGGCGUCGGCGGCCGAACCCACUGGGAACUAUAUUUAUAUAGUUCUCACCCCGUGUGGUUUCUGGGCGGUAUACAGAUGUGUAUAUUCCGCAGAUGUUGUUGUCGCCUUUGUUUCGUUCUCUUUCUUGUUAAUCUCAUUUUCUGUUGAUUACUAUAGUCUCGCCCAUUUCAAGAUAGUAGAUAUUGGUCUCAUUCCUUUGUAUUGAUUUUGUCAUUUUUAUUCUGUAUUUCAUCACGUUUUCGACAGAGAUCACGUUUUUACCACCAGAGAUAUGUAUAUGCCCAUGUUGAGAGCUGGAGAGUGUGUUUUUUUUUUUUUUGCUCUCCAUCUGGUGGAUAGUUUAGCAGGUGCUUCCUUCGAUCGAGCUUCGUUGAGGGAAGGGCGCCAAGGAUCGGAGAGGGUCGCACCUUCCGAGACUUUUUAUAGCUCUUUUCUCCCACACUCUUGAUAUUAAAUAUCAAAGGUCACCCGUUAAUGACUGGAGUCGAGUUCGAGAUGAUCCGGGGUUUUCUUUUCCCAUUCAUUGCUGUUAUUAUUAUUCGUUAUUUCUCACUCAUAUCCUUGACAUCUUUCUUUCGUAUUUACUUUACGAUAUGAUGAUACAGAGUACAGUGCGGGACGGGGCUUAGGUGAUGGUUAAACCGUGCCAAGCCCGUGUUGUCUGCCUGGCGGCUUGCCUGUCAUGGAAAGGACAGGCGGGUUCCGGUUCGUUGGUCUAGUACAUGUUAAUUCGUGGGUCCUUAAACGAAUUUAUUGUAUGUACUAGUUUAUACUAAGUGUGUUCACGUUAUGUAGAUUCUCGUUCUUGGUGUUCACUAUAUGUUCACAUAUUUCUCUCUAUCAGAUUGAUAGUAUUAGUAAGUUGUAAAUGUAAUAAACUUGUAUAAUAUAAAAGUAGAAGGUUUUACAUUCAUGUACAAAAGAAGUUUUAUGUUCAUCGAGAAACUAUAGAUAGGUUUUAUAGUUGAUCAUGUGCUCCCAUGAGAUUACGUAUUCCUUUUCGAUGAUUGAUCCGAGUGAAUCCCGCGAUACGGGAACGGCGCCAGGAGCGAGCCGAGCGGAGAUACACAUGGAUAUGAGGUUNNNNNNNNNNNNNNNNNNNNNNNNNNNNNNNNNNNNNNNNNNNNNNNNNNNNNNNNNNNNNNNNNNNNNNNNNNNNNNNNNNNNNNNNNNNNNNNNNNNNNNNNNNNNNNNNNNNNNNNNNNNNNNNNNNNNNNNNNNNNNNNNNNNNNNNNNNNNNNNNNNNNNNNNNNNNNNNNNNNNNNNNNNNNNNNNNNNNNNNNNNNNNNNNNNNNNNNNNNNNNNNNNNNNNNNNNNNNNNNNNNNNNNNNNNNNNNNNNNNNNNNNNNNNNNNNNNNNNNNNNNNNNNNNNNNNNNNNNNNNNNNNNNNNNNNNNNNNNNNNNNNNNNNNNNNNNNNNNNNNNNNNNNNNNNNNNNNNNNNNNNNNNNNNNNNNNNNNNNNNNNNNNNNNNNNNNNNNNNNNNNNNNNNNNNNNNNNNNNNNNNNNNNNNNNNNNNNNNNNNNNNNNNNNNNNNNNNNNNNNNNNNNNNNNNNNNNNNNNNNNNNNNNNNNNNNNNNNNNNNNNNNNNNNNNNNNNNNNNNNNNNNNNNNNNNNNNNNNNNNNNNNNNNNNNNNNNNNNNNNNNNNNNNNNNNNNNNNNNNNNNNNNNNNNNNNNNNNNNNNNNNNNNNNNNNNNNNNNNNNNNNNNNNNNNNNNNNNNNNNNNNNNNNNNNNNNNNNNNNNNNNNNNNNNNNNNNNNNNNNNNNNNNNNNNNNNNNNNNNNNNNNNNNNNNNNNNNNNNNNNNNNNNNNNNNNNNNNNNNNNNNNNNNNNNNNNNNNNNNNNNNNNNNNNNNNNNNNNNNNNNNNNNNNNNNNNNNNNNNNNNNNNNNNNNNNNNNNNNNNNNNNNNNNNNNNNNNNNNNNNNNNNNNNNNNNNNNNNNNNNNNNNNNNNNNNNNNNNNNNNNNNNNNNNNNNNNNNNNNNNNNNNNNNNNNNNNNNNNNNNNNNNNNNNNNNNNNNNNNNNNNNNNNNNNNNNNNNNNNNNNNNNNNNNNNNNNNNNNNNNNNNNNNNNNNNNNNNNNNNNNNNNNNNNNNNNNNNNNNNNNNNNNNNNNNNNNNNNNNNNNNNNNNNNNNNNNNNNNNNNNNNNNNNNNNNNNNNNNNNNNNNNNNNNNNNNNNNNNNNNNNNNNNNNNNNNNNNNNNNNNNNNNNNNNNNNNNNNNNNNNNNNNNNNNNNNNNNNNNNNNNNNNNNNNNNNNNNNNNNNNNNNNNNNNNNNNNNNNNNNNNNNNNNNNNNNNNNNNNNNNNNNNNNNNNNNNNNNNNNNNNNNNNNNNNNNNNNNNNNNNNNNNNNNNNNNNNNNNNNNNNNNNNNNNNNNNNNNNNNNNNNACCAACGCCAGUGUGUGCCAACUCCGGAGCGCACGCGAGGGGGAGCUACCUCCUCAAGCAGGACGUCAUUAUCAGUGAGUAAUCGAUCCAUCUCAACUUGCAGGAUCUAGCACUUGUACAAUGCUUGUCUAAUUAGGUUUUUUACCUAUUUAUAUGCUACUCCACUUAGUGUAUUUGGUUGCCAUCUUGGUUAAACUAAUGUUAAACUAUCGUUCUCUUAUGCAACCAAUCGUCUUAUUUGUCACAUGUUCACCUUUGUUUCUAUGUCAAGUCACCUCACUUCACACAUAAUAAUAGGCGUUCCUAUUACAUGAUUCCUUAUGUCCUACCUUUCUCUAUGUUAACUACGUUAGAAAAUGUCAUGAAAAGUAACAAGGUUCACCAUGUACUUAGACCAUUUUGUAUGAUGAUACCAAAAUAUAUGCUCAAUUGCCAUCAAGUGUUUGCUACGGUUCAUGACACUUAGGUUCACACUAUACUUGUUCAACCUUAUGUUCAUAACUAGGUUUAAUGCACUUGAUGUCAAGCUGUUCAAUACACUAGGUUAAUUAUACUUAAACUUAACAAAAGCUGACGAUCACUGGUUCGUUUCGACCCCGUUGGUCACUAAAAACUGUACGGACACUGCAAUCUUAUAUCAAAGUUAGCUUUCGGAUUUUAUUUCUCACUCUACAGGUGUCAGAAAAAUAUGAAACCUUAAAUCUAGCCUCAUAAAAAUAUUUCUGACAUCUCUGCCAAUUUUCAUAAUUUUCUGAGACUGCAUUUUCUGCUAAUUUAUCUGCCCCGUUUCCAACAGAAAAUUCUAAAUCUUCUGUUUUAAUUCCGAUUUCAGCACAGGUCAUUUCUGACUUAUGUUUUACUCCUACAAAUCCAAUAAAAAUAGUUUCUCACACUAUUUUUAUUUAUUUUUAUUUUUAUACCAAAAUCUGGUAUGUUACAUUCUCCACCCCUUAAAAGAAUUUCGUCCGCGAAAUUCAAACCAUGCCUAAAUUCAGCUCCGCGAGCAAUUGAGAGUACCGACUCAUUCUCCCACUCCAGAGCGGCUUCACACUAUCGUGGUUCCAGAAGCGGCUCAUACUGAAGGACGUGGGUUUAAUCCUAAACUCACUUGCAAAGUGUGAUACAAAUGUGCAUCACAGGUCUUGCAAGUCAUAGUGGCAGCGCAAGUCGAUACUCGACGACUCUACGCGCUCCAACACCACUCGCCACUCGGUACACAAAGAACUCUUUAUUGCACUGGCCUUCCCUUUUGGGAAUACAUUCCAAUUCGAUCGCCGACAUUGCUUAGAAGAAAUAUCACCGGUGCAUCGCUCCGUCGUGAGUGCUAUAAUUUGGCACUGACCCUAAACGUUAACGUGAGAUGGCCUAUCUUAGCACAUCCCCAAUUCCAAUCCUCCAAGUCCACGUGGCUUACUACUCGCUCAAGGUCUCACCAAGAGCACUUCAUCUUCUGAUACCAUAUGCCACGGUCAAAAUCGAACUACUUUCGCAACGAGCUCACGCGAGCGCUUCGUUCGUAAAUUCGAGUCAAAUUCCUCGAUAAGGCCACUUACCAAAUCGCUCUCUUCGGUCUCCACAGGUGGACCAAAGGCCACCAAUCCUACGUAGGCCUACCACCUAAACCUGUCUCAAUACGCAGCGUCUCUCGCUCGCAAAUGCAGACCGAAUCAUGAUCGGACGAAAUUCUCACUUGGGAAUUCGCACACACUCCAACCAGGAGCAACUAAGACCCCAAACCACGUCAAGUCCUCGGGUUGGGUCACAACCAUACUCGGUGUACCAUCGGUCACACAAUCUAUCACGUGGCAUUCCACGCUCCCGGGCCUAAACUCAGACUACCGUCCUGACCAGAACUCUGCCCUACCCGUAGGUACCGGGCCGCUGUCACUCACAGCUGACUGCGCUUGCCCAAUGGGCCCAGGCUCCACAGUCCACAAAUAGUCCAGGCACGGGUCGUCCCCAAGCACUACCCGCCGUCAUCGUCCUACACGACAUACUCUACCGAAUCAUACGUGCCAAUAUCGGCUCCUAUGCACCUAGUGCGAGUCACCAGUCCCACGAGUGAUCCAUGGCAUGCUUCACACCUAGCAAUGCUCAAGUGCUACUGCCAAUACACUCUCUCAGCUGUAUCCACAUUUGCACUCUACGGGUAUCUACACUCGGGCGCUCUACGCCCCUACAGCAUUUCACACGAGAUCCAGCAUUAGGCAAUCUUGCCUAUGCACACCGGACGCACGAGCACAACCGCCUACCUCACCUUGAGGUACUACUAGGCCCACGUGCUCAAACUUGGCCACUAAUCGACCGUUCUCUCAACAGUGAUGCCACUUUCACUGUUCGAUCUACCGGAAUGACAUCCAAAAUUUUCGGACUACUCGGGUGCCCAUAAGCAUUAUGGCUCGACUCUCGCAAUUUACUACUCAUAUUGCUCUGAGAGUCAUUUCGACACUUCUAUCUCUACCGCGAGUCUCACUUCUCGCCAUAGAUUACUUCUAGCACUUUGCUAGUGCCAUCUGGCUUUAUACCUAUACUGGCAGGUACUACGCCCUCACAUAAUACAAAACUCCAUUUCUAGAGCAAUCAAAUCUAUCUCCAGAAAUCCACCAUGAGAGAGAGCUUAGAAACUUACCUCUCCAAGAAGCUCCAACCAAGGAGAAGAUGAAGAAGAUGAGAAAGACAUCCUUCUUCUUCUCUUUCUUUCCUUUCCUUUCUUCUUCCUCUUUUUGUCUUCUAGAGAGAGAAAGAGAGAUAUGAGAGGGUGUGUGGGUGAGAAAUAAGAGAAAAGAGCUCUCAUACCCCUCACAUAGCCCCACAUGUUGCAUAAGUGCAAACAAGCCCCUCAACUUUUAUCCUUUUACAUUGCCCUCACUGGGCCACUUUCGGGUUCGGGGACCGGUCUCCCCGACGAGGGACCGGUCUCCGAGAGCUUCUCCCCGCAGUCAGCAGAGCUCGCACCCGAUGCAACCGGUCUUUCUUUGGGGGACCGGUCUCUCAGGGACCGGUCUCUCCAGCAGGGACCGGUCUCCGAGAGCUGUCCACCAAGGACUUAGCCAAUUUUUCUCUCCUAUUGCUGCCUGCGCGUUUGGGGACCGGUCUCUCCCCACAGGGACCGGUCUCCGAGAACAGAAAACCUACAGUUUGCAGAUUUUCAUUUCCAAGGCUCUCGAAGAUCCCCAGUAAUGCACUUUUGCAUUAUUUGACGCCUUCGGCCUUUCCAAAGCGUACCAACCUCGCUCUUUGGUCAAUUUGACCGAGGUUCGAUACUUGGUUACCGAAAUUUUGGUAUAUUACAUACCCGCUCAACAAGUAGUCGAUUCUGGACGAAGUCCAACUCUCGGCUCUCGAGAAUUCACUUCGUUACAACCAUACUGUACCAGUACACACCUGGUGUUAAACUGGUAACACAUAUUCCAGAAUUUCAGUUUUGCAUCGCUUCGACUCCAAUUCACGCCGAGCAACGCUAAAACUAUUCUAACUCUUUUAGAACUUAAUUCUAACCCUUCCAAUAUUGUUGGAAUGUAAAUUGGAUUUUGUCCAACUACUUCUCUCGACGCACUUUGGCCAACUUGACCAAAAGUGAUCUAACACGAUGAGGAUUCCGUUAAUUUCUCAAAGGCCACAAGGGCCACCAAAACUCGCGAAGUUCCAAGUCUCCGCUCGCCUCAACUUGCCCAGGGACACCGCUUGGCCCAUCCCGCGCCGAUCUAAAUGAAGAUCGCCUACGCGGUGCUAUCGCUUCCUAAAACGCGACAACUCUAUUAAUCCUCGACCUUUUAGGUCGAACACAAGACACUUAAUACCGACUCAAAUCGGGCGAAAGUCACGCAAAGGCGUCUACUCUCAUCACUCGGCUUCAUGUUGUGUGCACCCAACAUGAACACCCUCUAUUGAGAAUAAACCUUACCUUGAGUCUACCUCUAAUAUCCAUUUUAGAGGUUUAUGACACAACCCAAUCAAUUAACCUUUCGCCAAAAGUCACAAGUCAUCGUCUCUCACGAACCUUAAUCUCCUAUGGCUUGCUAACCUAGGGUCUCCUAGGUCCAACUAAACCAUUUUCUAUUAUUCUUUUUAUGUUUCUUUUAUGCUCUGAUACCAUCUUAUCUGUCACGCCCCGCGACCGCCCUCCUAUUUGGCCGGGUCGCGGCGCCGCCGACAGAUCGCCGAACGGACAGGGUUUCCCCUGUACUGCGGACAAAGUCUCCCCUGUACGUUCAAGGCAUAACAAUCAAUACAAUGUGCGAAGUUCCAACCAGGAACACAUUUCAAUCAAGGAUUACAUAAUGGAAGGUAUCAAACAACAUAACACAUCCUAUGAUAUUACAUGCAUUCACAUUCAUCCAUUUUUACAUUACAAAUCUCAUUAGAUUCCAACAUUAGCUUUCACUUAACUUCCAAAUACAAUCCAAUUUAACAAUAUUAUUACAACUUGAUUCUUUUCAUUCUUCACAACCCUAAGUAAGGCCGACUCAGGGUACCGCUAUCUCUGGUCUCGGUGGUAGGGCGCUAACUAUGGAGCUACGCCCUCGCCUCGUGCCGCCGCGCCGCUCACGUGCGAACCUGUAACACCCCAAAAUCACGUGGGGUGAGAACCAACUCCAUGGUUCCUAGUGGGUACGGCCACCCAAGGAAAAAGCUCGACCAAUAGGUCCAAGGGAGGCAACUGCAAGUUAGUUCAAUAAACAGAUAGAUAUAUAUCUUGAUUAUGCAACGAAUAAAACCAUGCAUUGCCUCACGAAUGCAAUAAUGCAAUGCUAUAUGCAAAUCAUGCAAUAAUGCAACUAUGCAACCAACUAGUAGUUCAUUUGACACUACUUUCAAUUCUGCUAACCAUAGCUCAUCCAUUCGAUAUCUAAGGUUUCCUCUAUCUUAGAUUCUUGUCAAUCACCGUUUUAAUCAUAAAGUUUCAUCUACCUUUACAAGGCUAACCACCCGACUCGGUCUUGAGUCAAUCGUCUGCGGAGUACCGCACUAGAACCAGGCUCGAGGCGAUGGACGUCUCACAUACACCUCAGCCCUAGAUCCUCUCGACUAGGAUACCAAAUCCAUAACUCAUAAUGCAUACUUGUUGUACACUCAUUUGGCUAUGACCCAAUCUUACCGGUUAACCAUGUUAACCCCAAUAACUCACAACCAAAUCCCUUAAUAACGGGGGACUCGAACCUCCCUAGGGACCGUCAACUGGUGGGACUUUACCACGCCCAGUGGUGACCAACUCCGGAGCGCACCGCCCGAGGGGGAGCUACCUCCCUCAAGCCAAGACGUAACGUGAGUAUCGAUCCAAUCCUCAACUUGAGGAUUCAUAGCCACUCGUCACAAUGCCAAUGUCAUGAUAGGUCUCUACCUAUUUAAUCAUGCCACUCUCUAUGUCAACUUGGACCAAUGUCAAUAUGGUUAAACUAUGUUUAACAAUCACUUUCUUGAUGCCAAUCAUGUCUCUAUUGUCAUUGUCACCCUUGUUUACUAAUGUUCAAGUCCAACUCUCACAUUUACACAAUAAUAGGGUCCUAACAUACAUGAAUGACACCAGAAUAUAUAUGAUCAAUCACCACAAGUGUUUGCUAGGUUCAAGAUGCUAGGUUUAAUGCCACUCGAUCUAAUAUAUAUAUAGAUUGUCCACUAUGUUCCACAACAUGGCAAUAUGUCAUCAAGUAUGUUUUUCUAUUUAACAUAAUCCACAAUAUGUAAAUUCAUAAUAUAUCAUCAUGCACAUAUACCACUAGCAUCACAUGAUUUGUCAACAUACAUAUAGUCAUUAUCCAAAAUAGUCCAUACUUAGCAUCUCAUGCAUUCUUUUAGCACUUAAUUCAUUAUGCAUUACAUUUAGCAUUUCUAUAGUAUGUUAACAUGCAUUCUUUUCACAUUCUUAUAUUAUGUCAAUAUGCAUCAAUAUGAAAUCUCAUUUCUUAGACAUAAAGGGCGACCUAGUCGCUUCGGUAAACACAACCCACCUCAUUUCGCAUUCCGAUUGCUUGUCGACACUUGCAAUCGGCCGCCCGCGGCACCCGGCACCCGGUUUGGCCCGAUCUCUCACGCGACCACCCGAACGGCCUCCAAUUCACGAUCCGAAAAUUAAAGGUCUUCGGUUAUGUGCCACGAUGCUUCAAAUCCAUUUUCAUGAAUUUACGGUAUCGCCUCGGCCCUCCCGGCGGACCCGAAGCCUAAACGUCCAUUUCUUUAAUAACUUUGUAACGGCUCGUCGGAUUGCCGAACCGUCUUCGCCAACGCGUUUCGUUACCUAGCAAUUUGGUUUACGGAGGGUCAAAUGAGAUCAAACCCUCAUAUGUUGAAAGUUUGCAUUUUGAGCCCUAGGUUUACAACUAUGCAAGAAAUCAUUAAAUUGCUCUAUGAUUCAAGCAUUAAUCAUCUAUUAGGCAUCAAUGGGUUCCACUAAAACCAUUUCCAAAGCAUUUAGACCUAUCUUUAGAGAUCUACCAUUAAAGCCCUCAUUUUGGAGCUCUAGGUUUCAAUAGGUAAAAAUCCACCAUUAGAGCCUUGAUUUCAAGCAUCAAACCUCUAAUUAGCAUGCUAGAAUACCUCUAAAUCCAUUCUUAGAGCUUAAAAACCAAACUAGAGAGAAAUGCCAUUAAAGGGUUUGAAGCUUACCUUCAAAGCUUGCUCUAAUGGAGAAGAAGAAGAUAGAGAAGAUGAAAAUCCAUCCUUGAGCUUCAAUCUCCACCAAAACCCUCUCUUUUUGGGAGAGAUUUAGAGAGAGAAAGGGAGAUCUCUCUCUCCCUCCAUGUAUGCGUGUGUGUGUGUGUGGCGUGUGCGCGUGUGGUGUGCGGCCGAAGGAGAAGAAGAAGCAGCAGCUUCUUAAUAAUACCCCCAAGACACUAUUCACUCCCGGGCAGCUUGAAAUCUGAUAACUUUCGCCGGAGCUCCCUGAAUGUCCGUUUGAGCUCAAACUUGACAGUCAUGUUCGGUUUUACUUAACUUAACAAGCUGACGAUCACUGGUUCAGUUUCGACCCCGUUUGGUCACUGAAAACUGUACCGAAUUGCAAUCUUUAUCAGAUAGCUUUCGGAUUUUAUUUCUCACUCUACCGGUGUCAAAAAAAUAUGAAACCUUAAAUCUAGCAUCAUAAAAAUAUUUCUGACAUCUCUGCCAAUUUUCAUAAUUUUCUGAGACUGUGCAUUUUCUGCUAAUUUAUCUGCCCCGUUUCCAACAGAAAAUUCUAAAUCUUCUGUUUUAAUUCCGAUUUCAGCACAGGUCAUUUCUGACUUAUGUUUUACUCCUACAAAUCCAAUAAAAAUAGUUUCUCACACUAUUUUUAUUUAUUUUUAUUUUUAUA
rnacentral:lncRNA from 1 species